rnacentral:lncRNA from 1 species
UUUAGCUCUGCAACAUGUUUAAUUACCUGUCUACGUUUUCCCGAACGUACUAUCAUUGCUCAUAUACUUGAUUAGAACUAUAUGUAGUGUCUUCCCUAUAUAUCUUUAGAUUAUAUAUAUUCAUCUCUAUGUAGAUGUAUACAUACAUUAUGGAGUAUAAGUUGCUGUGUGGAAUACUCAACCAUGCACAUAAUUGAUCACUUCUUUCCAAAAUGACAAUUCAUUUCCCUAUAUAUCCGUUAAAUCUGUAGUUUUUUGGAAUUUAGUCGACA